CUUCUCCGAUUCAUCCUCUCCACUUAUUCUCUCCAUUAUCCCAUUCACUGAAACUUCUCAUUCAAUUUGAAUUUGGAAGAAAAUUAAUUUCAUAAUGUUCAAAAUUAGGUUUUGGCAAAAUAUUUGUCUACUAAAAAACUUUCAAUUUCUAUAUAAAAAGAAUUGACGGCAAAAGAACCAUAAAGUUCUUAAUCGGGAAGAAGAUGAUGAUAGCGGUUUCGAAGAUUUGAAUAUCAUCGAUAAUCGAAAGGAUAUGGCUGUUGUUGAUAUGGUUAUUGCUGUCAAGUUUUUUUUUCUGUCAAACUGAUGAAAAAAACGAUGAACGAAGGUGGUUUGAGUUGAACAAAGAAAGUAGUCGUUGCAGUGGGACAAAGAUAGGCGAACGAUGAACGAAAGCGAACGAUGAAUGAAGGCGAGGUGGCUGGCAGCUGUUGUCUUUUUUAUUGUAAUUGGGAUAUUAGCAAUGAUGUAAAAAUAAUUAAGGUUAACUAUAUGUUUUCUAAUGGUUAAUUAAUAGUUAACUAAUUUUAUAUGAUUUUUAUAUAAAACAUGAAUAUAUAUUGAUAA